AUUGAACGCUGGCGGCAGGCCUAACACAUGCAAGUCGAGCGAGAAAGCACUUCGGUGUGAGUAUAGCGGCGGACGGGUGAGUAACGCGUAGGAAUCUACCCAGUAGCGGGGGACAACAUGGUGAAAACCAUGCUAAUACCGCAUACGCCCCACGGGGGAAAGGGGGCUCUUUGAGCUUCCACUAUUGGAUGAGCCUGCGUAAGAUUAGCUUGUUGGUGAGGUAAUGGCUCACCAAGGCGACGAUCUCUAGCUGGUCUGAGAGGAUGAUCAGCCACACUGGAACUGAGACACGGUCCAG
rnacentral:rRNA from 1 species